AACGAACGCUGGCGGCAUGCCUAACACAUGCAAGUCGAACGAGACCUUCGGGUCUAGUGGCGCACGGGUGCGUAACACGUGGGAAUUUGCCUCGGGGUAUGGAAUAACUCAGGGAAACUUGAGCUAAUACCAUAUAAUGUCUUCGGACCAAAGAUUUAUCGCCCUGAGAUAAGCCCGCGUAGGAUUAGCUAGUUGGUGGGGUAAAGGCUCACCAAGGCGACGAUCCUUAGCUGGUCUGAGAGGAUGAUCAGCCACACUGGGACUGAGACACGGCCCAGACUCCUACGGGAGGCAGCAGUGGGGAAUAUUGGACAAUGGGCGAAAGCCUGAUCCAGCAAUGCCGCGUGAGUGAUGAAGGCCUUAGGGGUUUGUAAAGCUCUUUUACCCGAGAUGAUAAUGACAGUAUCGGGAGAAUAAGCUCCGGCUAACUCCGUGCCAGCAGCCGCGGUAAUGUGACUACUG
rnacentral:rRNA from 1 species